rnacentral:rRNA from 1 species
GACGAACGCUGGCGGCGUGCCUAAUACAUGCAAGUAGAACGCUGAAGGAGGAGCUUGCUUCUCUGGAUGAGUUGCGAACGGGUGAGUAACGCGUAGGUAACCUGCCUGGUAGCGGGGGAUAACUAUUGGAAACGAUAGCUAAUACCGCAUAAGAGUAGAUGUUGCAUGACAUUUGCUUAAAAGGUGCAAUUGCAUCACUACCAGAUGGACCUGCGUUGUAUUAGCUAGUUGGUGAGGUAACGGCUCACCAAGGCAACGAUACAUAGCCGACCUGAGAGGGUGAUCGGCCACACUGGGACUGAGACACGGCCCAGACUCCUACGGGAGGCAGCAGUAGGGAAUCUUCGGCAAUGGACGGAAGUCUGACCGAGCAACGCCGCGUGAGUGAAGAAGGGUUUCGGAUCGUAAAGCUCGGUUGUAAGAGAAGAACGAGUGUGAGAGUGGAAAGUUCACACUGUGACGGUAUCUUACCAGAAAGGGACGGCUAACUACGUG